CUAUAUUAGAGGUUAAACCCUGUUUUAAAAUCUGCCUUAUCUGGUAGCUUAUAUAUUUGGAAAUUUAUACAAAUGCAAAUCUGGUAUGAUUGGGGUAUAUGGGGCACUGUAAAACAAGCCGGAUAAUGUCUUGCCUUGAGCUGACGCUUUCCUCGGUCAACGAAUAAGUAUCGCAAUACAGCGAGGAAAUCCUGCCAGCAUUAAAGGACUGCCGUUAAGUAACUGAAAGAAGAACUUAGACUAACAAAUAAAACUUCGUUUUAUUUGAACUACUGAUUGGAAUACCUGAAAAUCCCAGCAUAAUUUGAACGGAAGUUUUGGUCUACUGGCACAACAUGUUUGAAAAUUCCCUUAAACUUGUGGAGAACCUCCAUACAACCCAUUAGCCACAAGUCUCCUUAAAAAAUACAGUUUGUUAAGUUUAUAAUUAA